GGGUUGUGAGGUUAAGCGACUAAGCGUACACGGUGGAUGCCCUGGCAGUCAGAGGCGAUGAAGGACGUGCUAAUCUGCGAAAAGCGUCGGUAAGGUGAUAUGAACCGUUAUAACCGGCGAUGUCCGAAUGGGGAAACCCAGUGCAAUUCGUUGCACUAUCGUUAACUGAAUACAUAGGUUAACGAGGCGAACCGGGGGAACUGAAACAUCUAAGUACCCCGAGGAAAAGAAAUCAACCGAGAUUCCCCCAGUAGCGGCGAGCGAACGGGGAGCAGCCCAGAGUCUGAAUCAGCUUGUGUGUUAGUGGAACGGUCUGGAAAGUCCGACGGUACAGGGUGAUAGUCCCGUACACCAAAAUGCACAGGUUGUGAACUCGAAGAGUAGGGCGGGACACGUGGUAUCCUGUCUGAAUAUGGGGGGACCAUCCUCCAAGGCUAAAUACUCCUGACUGACCGAUAGUGAACCAGUACCGUGAGGGAAAGGCGAAAAGAACCCCGGCGAGGGGAGUGAAAAAGAACCUGAAACCGUGUACGUACAAGCAGUGGGAGCACCUUCGGGUGUGACUGCGUACCUUUUGUAUAAUGGGUCAGCGACUUAUAUUCUGUAGCAAGGUUAACCGUAUAGGGGAGCCGCAGGGAAACCGAGUCUUAACUGGGCGUUAAGUUGCAGGGUAUAGACCCGAAACCCGGUGAUCUAGCCAUGGGCAGGUUGAAGGUUGGGUAACACUAACUGGAGGACCGAACCGACUAAUGUUGAAAAAUUAGCGGAUGACUUGUGGCUGGGGGUGAAAGGCCAAUCAAACCGGGAGAUAGCUGGUUCUCCCCGAAAGCUAUUUAGGUAGCGCCUCGUGAACUCAUCUUCGGGGGUAGAGCACUGUUUCGGCUAGGGGGUCAUCCCGACUUACCAACCCGAUGCAAACUACGAAUACCGAAGAAUGUUAUCACGGGAGACACACGGCGGGUGCUAACGUCCGUCGUGAAGAGGGAAACAACCCAGACCGCCAGCUAAGGUCCCAAAGUCAUGGUUAAGUGGGAAACGAUGUGGGAAGGCACAGACAGCCAGGAUGUUGGCUUAGAAGCAGCCAUCAUUUAAAGAAAGCGUAAUAGCUCACUGGUCGAGUCGGCCUGCGCGGAAGAUGUAACGGGGCUAAACCAUGCACCGAAGCUGCGGCAGCGACACUAUGUGUUGUUGGGUAGGGGAGCGUUCUGUAAGCCUGCGAAGGUGACCUGUGAGGGUUGCUGGAGGUAUCAGAAGUGCGAAUGCUGACAUAAGUAACGAUAAAGCGGGUGAAAAGCCCGCUCGCCGGAAGACCAAGGGUUCCUGUCCAACGUUAAUCGGGGCAGGGUGAGUCGACCCCUAAGGCGAGGCCGAAAGGCGUAGUCGAUGGGAAACAGGUUAAUAUUCCUGUACUUGGUGUUACUGCGAAGGGGGGACGGAGAAGGCUAUGUUAGCCGGGCGACGGUUGUCCCGGUUUAAGCAUGUAGGCUGAUUGUCCAGGCAAAUCCGGAUAAUCAAGGCUGAGGUGUGAUGACGAGGCACUACGGUGCUGAAGUAACAAAUGCCCUGCUUCCAGGAAAAGCCUCUAAGCAUCAGGUAACAUUAAAUCGUACCCCAAACCGACACAGGUGGUCAGGUAGAGAAUACCAAGGCGCUUGAGAGAACUCGGGUGAAGGAACUAGGCAAAAUGGUGCCGUAACUUCGGGAGAAGGCACGCUGGUGUGUAGGUGAAGUCCCUGCGGAUGGAGCUGAGACCAGUCGAAGAUACCAGCUGGCUGCAACUGUUUAUUAAAAACACAGCACUGUGCAAACACGAAAGUGGACGUAUACGGUGUGACGCCUGCCCGGUGCCGGAAGGUUAAUUGAUGGGGUUAUCCGUAAGGAGAAGCUCUUGAUCGAAGCCCCGGUAAACGGCGGCCGUAACUAUAACGGUCCUAAGGUAGCGAAAUUCCUUGUCGGGUAAGUUCCGACCUGCACGAAUGGCGUAAUGAUGGCCAGGCUGUCUCCACCCGAGACUCAGUGAAAUUGAACUCGCUGUGAAGAUGCAGUGUACCCGCGGCAAGACGGAAAGACCCCGUGAACCUUUACUAUAGCUUGACACUGAACAUUGAGCCUUGAUGUGUAGGAUAGGUGGGAGGCUUUGAAGCGUGGACGCCAGUCUGCGUGGAGCCAACCUUGAAAUACCACCCUUUAAUGUUUGAUGUUCUAACGUUGGCCCCUGACCGGGGUUGCGGACAGUGUCUGGUGGGUAGUUUGACUGGGGCGGUCUCCUCCCAAAGCGUAACGGAGGAGCACGAAGGUUAGCUAAUCCUGGUCGGACAUCAGGAGGUUAGUGCAAUGGCAUAAGCUAGCUUGACUGCGAGCGUGACGGCGCGAGCAGGUGCGAAAGCAGGUCAUAGUGAUCCGGUGGUUCUGAAUGGAAGGGCCAUCGCUCAACGGAUAAAAGGUACUCCGGGGAUAACAGGCUGAUACCGCCCAAGAGUUCAUAUCGACGGCGGUGUUUGGCACCUCGAUGUCGGCUCAUCACAUCCUGGGGCUGAAGUAGGUCCCAAGGGUAUGGCUGUUCGCCAUUUAAAGUGGUACGCGAGCUGGGUUUAGAACGUCGUGAGACAGUUCGGUCCCUAUCUGCCGUGGGCGCUGGAGAAUUGAGGGGGGCUGCUCCUAGUACGAGAGGACCGGAGUGGACGCAUCACUGGUGUUCGGGUUGUCAUGCCAAUGGCACUGCCCGGUAGCUAAAUGCGGAAGAGAUAAGUGCUGAAAGCAUCUAAGCACGAAACUUGCCCCGAGAUGAGUUCUCCCUGAGACUUUAAGUCUCCUGAAGGAACGUUAAAGACGAUGACGUUGAUAGGCCGGGUGUGUAAGCGCAGCGAUGCGUUGAGCUAACCGGUACUAAUGAACCGUGAGGCUUAACCUUACAACGCCGAAG
rnacentral:rRNA from 1 species